AAGACGAUUUUGCCCCUCCGUUCUGUUUCUUGCUUCUACACCUGCUCAGUGUGUGCUGUUUCUUCCUUCGACACCUGGGUGCUGGUCAGUGCUAUCGUGUCUUUGCUACUUCACUCCACAAAGAGGGGUUUAGGGUUGUCGUAUUGGGUUUGUCAUCAACAAGAAGAAAGGUGAUUCUGGGUUAUUGGCUCAACCUUGAGGUGGAGGUGCGUUGAGGAAAGCAGGAGAGCUGCAGCUUCUGGUAUUUGAGUUGUGGCCUGAAACAUCCGAUUCCCGAGUCAUUGUUCAUGCAUGUAGACAUAGUUGCUUCUACGUUCAAGGUUUCACCUGCUACUAUCAUUGUUGCUGCAAUUGAUUUAUCUGUUGUAAAAAAUUGGUCUGCAAGGUCUGAAAAAAAGGAGAAGCUUGAAUCUAUCAAUCAAGAUUGGAAGAAUUUUUGGGUGGAGCUAUCGGUGAUUUUUGCUCAAGUUGUAUCUAGCUGGAGCUAUCGGUGGUUCAGUCUUUUACUUGGAGCACCAUACCUAGAUGUACUUACCGCCAGAGGUACCAUGAUGACUCACAAACCUGGAAAGAUCUAAGGCAUGCAUCACCAGUUCGAUGGAGUUCGGUUCUAUUAAGCAUCAUAGACAUUUCUGCUCCUAGAUUGCAUCAACAGGUAAUGAAGCACCUGGAUGGAAACAACCACAGUCAGCUUUACAAUGUCAAGAAGGGACCUGAAUGAGUGGUCUGUGCUUAAACCCCUUCCAUCUUAUGGUACAAGAACAGAUGCAGCAACUGGAAGGUUCCAAGUUAUCAUAAGAAGAGGUAGAGAAUAGAAAGUCUUGCCUAUUCCAUGACCAAAAUGAUGGCACAUAAGAUCUUAUGGGAAGAAAAUCUAUCCUUCUGACAAUAAGUCAUGAUUGCCUCCAGUGCUAUGGUCCUUAAUUAUUGAAAGCAUUGCACAAACAAAUCGCAGUGUCUACGGCUGAGAUACAGAAUGGUACUGACGUAGAGGUUUAUGGAUCACCAACUGAAAGAGGAAUUCUACACUUGAGGAAUUAAGAUUCUAUUCAAUCUCGAGGAUCAGAGCUCUUUCCAAUGUUCAAUCUAUCCAUAAAAGUAUUCUGCAGAGUCUCAAGCAACAGCAUUUGACAGAGUUUCAGAUAACUACAACUUCAAUACACUUCAUGCAAGUUGCUUUCUAUGGACUAUCAGUGACCUGAACAACAAUCUGGAUCAACAUUAUCUUCUCAGUAGGUUUGAUUUCAAGUUAAUGAUUUUGGUGGAGAAAUUCGUGUAACGUGUUUUAAUCAUGUAGCCAAAAAAUUAAUGUAUCUGACAAAAACAAUAUAAAUAUUUUGAUAUGUAAUGUUAUAAGAGAGAGGAUGUGUUAUUUGGAUAUUGGAUGUGUUUUGUUGCUAAUAGAACAGAGGAGUAGAGUGAAAUUUUGAAGCUUGAAUUGGGUAUUGAAGAAUUUAAUGCUUUAUUGCUUGGAACUAAAUGGAACAGUGUGGAGAGUUGGAUGUCUAGAGUGAAGGUUUGUAAUUUUCCUGGGUGUUGGGAUCAUUUUUGAUGGUGCUGUUUACAUA